GCUCUCGGUAGCCAAGUUGGUUUAAGGCGCAAGACUGUAAUUUUAGUAGUAAUCUUGAGAUCGGGUGUUCGACUCACCCCGGGAGAU